GAGAAAUAGACAUAAUGAAGAGCAACCGGGCACUGGCUGCUGGGUCGCAGGAAACAUGGCCACCAUCUUGGAGCGGUUGUCAAUCCUACUUAGAUGGACAACCAUCCAAUAGAUGGUUGUCUUCUGCAAAACAGCAGAAGAUGCCUCAGCACUUUGGGGGAUGAAAACAAAAAUUUGUGUGUUUGAAUGGCCUAGUCAAAGUCCAGACCUAAAUCCAAUUGAGAAUCUGUGGAAAGACUUGAAAAUUGCUAUCCAGAGAUGAUUUCCAUCCAAUCUAACUGAACAU